UACGGGGGGGGCAAGCGUUGUUCGGAAUUACUGGGCGUAAAGGGCGCGUAGGCGGCCUGCUAAGUCGGAUGUGAAAUCCCUCGGCUCAACCGAGGAACUGCAUCCGAUACUGGCGGGCUUGAAUCCGGGAGAGGGAUGUGGAAUUCCAGGUGUAGCGGUGAAAUGCGUAGAUAUCUGGAGGAACACCGGUGGCGAAGGCGGCGUUCUGGACUGUUUCUGACACUGAAUAACGAAAGCCAGGGGAGCAAACGGG
rnacentral:rRNA from 1 species